rnacentral:rRNA from 1 species
UAGGGAAUCUUCGGCAAUGGACGAAAGGUCUGACCGAGCAACGCCGCGUGAGUGAAGAAGGUUUUCGGAUCGUAAAACUCUGUUGGUAGAGAAGAACGUUGGUGAGAGUGGAAAGCUCAUCAAGUGACGGUAACUACCCAGAAAGGGACGGCUAACUACGUGCCAG